AAAAAAAAAAAAAAAAAAAAAAAAAAAAAAAAACGGUUGAGGGGCAAAAAGGACAUUUUACCCCUCAGCCCAUUAUAGGGGUCUUGAGCGUCCUCCUCAGAUUACCUGCAAAAGAAGAAGAGUGAGAGAGAAGAACUGAGAGAAAGUUUGAGAGAGAAAACUGGUUUGCCGGAGUUUUCGUCGGAGAGUCGCCGACGGAAUCCAUUUCCUACCAAGACCUGUACUCUGGAGCCCUUCUUGGAGUGAAGUAAGAACUCGUGUGGAGAUUUCCUCCUCCUUCCUCAAGAUCAGAAAGAAAACCCGCAAAGUAAGAUUUCGAACUAUACCUUCCAGAUCUUAGAUCUUUGUUUAGGAGUAGAAUGGUUAAGUCUACUACCUUUGUCCAGGGAGGAUUCGCUACCGAUCUUGGUGAGGGAAACGGACGAAACGACGAGAUCUGAAAGACUAUCCAAGAACGGUAAGGAGGAGAGAGAAGCCGCCGGCGUGCCACGCGUCAACCAACCAGAGGGCCGCGUGCGCCAAUCGCCCCCGGACACGCGUCGAGCGCCGCCUGGGAAAACGCGGCUCCAGCUCUCCGCGACACGCGUCCCUGGCUCCGCGACCCGACCCGCGCUCCUUGGCUGACCCGAUACCCGCACGGCGAACCGGACCAAGCCGACGACCCGCGGUCCACCCGAAUCACCGCUUCCGACCCGGACCCGCGACCCGCGACCCGCGACUGCAGAAAUCCCUAGGCGCGUGACACUCGCGCGUGGGAUCUGCGAGUGGCUGCUCCCCAGCGCGUGACUGGCGCGUGGAGGCGCGUGUAAGCUGUUUUUGGCCCGAUCGGCUUCUGUUUUCCCUAGUUUCCCCUGAUUCAUAUCCUAACUCCAUUUGUUUGUAUGAAAUAGGACCUUAUUGAGGAAAAAUCACCCCCUCUCGUUACGCCAAGUGUGUGGAAACGCUGCGUAAGGGCACGUAGCAUCCAAGUACGUGAGGCGUCGAGUCAAGAGAGGGCGCGUCGAUCGAUGUGGGUUGUCACAGAGGAAGCGUGUCCCGGGGCGUCAGUCUAGUUUACUAAAUAGUACACUUUGUCUCACAUGUUCCUUUCCUUGUUUUUCUUUUACCUAGGCACUUAUGUCCUUCUAAUAAAGAUACGUUUUUCUUUUGAAACAAAUGAUUUCCUUGAAUUUCUCGUUUAUGCAUUACAUGUCAUACAAUGUUAGUCACGGCUUAAU